rnacentral:rRNA from 1 species
GAUGAACGCUAGCUACAGGCUUAACACAUGCAAGUCGCGGGGCAGCAUGGGGGUUGCUUGCAACUCCCGAUGGCGACCGGCGCACGGGUGAGUAACGCGUAUCCAACCUGCCCUUCACCACGGGAUAACCCGGCGAAAGUCGGACUAAUACCGUAUGUUGUCCAUUGACGGCAUCCGAUUUGGACGAAAGGCUUUGCGGUGAAGGAUGGGGAUGCGUCCGAUUAGCCAGACGGCGGGGUAACGGCCCACCGUGGCUACGAUCGGUAGGGGUUCUGAGAGGAAGGUCCCCCACACUGGAACUGAGACACGGUCCAGACUCCUACGGGAGGCAGCAGUGAGGAAUAUUGGUCAAGGGGCGUAAGCCUGAACCAGCCAAGUAGCGUGCAGGAUGACGGCCCUAUGGGUUGUAAACUGCUUUUAUGCGGGGAUAAAGUGGCCCACGUGUGGGCUUUUGCAGGUACCGCAUGAAUAAGGACCGGCCAAUUCCGUG